UGCGUAGGCGGCAGUUUAAGUCAGAUGUGAAAUCCCCGGGCUCAACCCGGGUAUUGCAUUUGAAACUGGGCAGCUAGAGUGCAGGAGAGGGAAGCGGAAUUCCUAGUGUAGCGGUGAAAUGCGUAGAUAUUAGGAGGAACACCAGUGGCGAAGGCGGCUUUCUGGACUGCAACUGACGCUGAGGCACGAAAGCGUGGGGAGCAAACA
rnacentral:rRNA from 1 species